rnacentral:rRNA from 1 species
UAGUCCACGCCGUAAACGAUGUCUACUAGCCGUUGGGAAUCUUGAAUUCUUAGUGGCGCAGCUAACGCACUAAGUAGACCGCCUGGGGAGUACGGCCGCAAGGUUAAAACUCAAAUGAAUUGACGGGGGCCCGCACAAGCGGUGGAGCAUGUGGUUUAAUUCGAUGCAACGCGAAGAACCUUACCAGGUCUUGACAUCCUGCGAAUUUUCUAGAGAUAGAUUAGUGCCUUCGGGAACGCAGUGACAGGUGCUGCAUGGCUGUCGUCAGCUCGUGUCGUGAGAUGUUGGGUUAAGUCCCGUAACGAGCGCAACCCUUGUCCUUAGUUGCCAUCAGGUAAUGCUGGGAACUCUAAGGAGACUGCCGGUGACAAACCGGAGGAAGGUGGGACGACGUCAAGUCAUCAUGGCCCUUACGACCUGGGCUACACACGUGCUACAAUGGCCGGUACAGACGGUUGCCAACCCGCGAGGGGGAGCUAAUCUGAGAAAACCGGUCGUAGUCCGGA